rnacentral:rRNA from 1 species
AGGACGAACGCUGGCGGCGUGCUUAACACAUGCAAGUCGAGCGGAAAGGCCCUUCGGGGUACUCGAGCGGCGAACGGGUGAGUAACACGUGAGUAAUCUGCCUUCAGCUCUGGGAUAGCUCCGGGAAAACCGGGAUUAAUACCGGAUAUGACCACUUCGGACAUCUGUUGUGGUGGAAAGUUUUUCGGCUGGAGAUGAGCUCGCGGCCUAUCAGCUUGUUGGUGGGGUAACGCUUACCAAGGCGACGACGGGUA